GACGAACGCUGGCGGCGUGCUUAACACAUGCAAGUCGAACGAAGAGCGACGGAAGCUUGCUUCUAUCAAUCUUAGUGGCGAACGGGUGAGUAACGCGUAAUCAACCUGCCCUUCAGAGGGGGACAACAGUUGGAAACGACUGCUAAUACCGCAUACGAUCUAACCUCGGCAUCGAGGAUAGAUGAAAGGUGGCCUCUACAUGUAAGCUAUCACUGAAGGAGGGGAUUGCGUCUGAUUAGCUAGUUGGAGGGGUAACGGCCCACCAAGGCGAUGAUCAGUAGCGGGCAGGAAGGGAGGAGCGCCACCAUGGGGCGUAGACAAGGCCCAAACAUCCGAGGGGGGGCAGCGGUGGGGAUCUUCCCGAAAGGGAGGAAGGGCGUAGGGGGAACCGCGGGGGGGGGAAGGACGGCCUUGGGGUUGAAAAGUCUGGUUAGCCGGGACGAAAGGCUUUUUUGCAAAAAGGGAGAGGGAUUGAGGGACCCGAAAAAAAAAGCCACGGCAAACUCCGUG
rnacentral:rRNA from 1 species